rnacentral:snoRNA from 1 species
UGCUUGAUGAUGACUCUCUCCUAUGAUUGCUUUUGUAAUAACUAAAGCAAACUGAGCAAAACAUUUCACCGGCACUGAAAGCA